CCGGAGUUCUCGGAUGCCUUC
rnacentral:siRNA from 1 species